rnacentral:misc_RNA from 1 species
AUUAUUAUCACACUUAGAUAAUUUUUUAUACAACUCCCUCUUUCUCUUCACUGCUUUUUGUACUUCCUCAUUCCAGCACCAUCCCAGCUUCCAUGCUUCAGACUCGAAAAGCUCAUUUUUUAACUUCACUUGUUUUACUCUUUUGAACUUCCACUACUUUGUUCAAGUUACAAUAUUUCUUCUAGCCUUACUUGAAUUGUUCCUAAAAUUGACAUCUAAGACCACUAAACGAUAUUGACUUAUUAAAGCCUCUUCCGGAAUAACCUUGCAAUACUUGCAUAGAUCUUUAUUUAUCUUCCUGGUUAAAAGGAAAUCAAUUUAACUUCUAUGUUGUCCACUUUUGAAAGUCACUAA